rnacentral:rRNA from 1 species
CAGUCGCCGCGGGAAUACGUAGGUGGCAAGCGUUGUCCGGAAUUAUUGGGCGUAAAGCGCGCGCAGGCGGAUAGGUCAGUCUGUCUUAAAAGUUCGGGGCUUAACCCCGUGAUGGGAUGGAAACUGCCAAUCUAGAGUAUCGGAGAGGAAAGUGGAAUUCCUAGUGUAGCGGUGAAAUGCGUAGAUAUUAGGAAGAACACCAGUGGCGAAGGCGACUUUCUGGACGAAAACUGACGCUGAGGCGCGAAAGCCAGGGGAGCGAACGGGAUUAGAUACCCCGGUAGUCCCUGUCUCUUAUACA